rnacentral:rRNA from 1 species
AGAGUUUGAUCCUGGCUCAGGACGAACGCUGGCGGCGUGCCUAACACAUGCAAGUCGAGCGAGGGGAGUUCUUCGGAACAAACCUAGCGGCGGACGGGUGAGUAACACGUGGGUAACCUGCCUCAAAGAGGGGGAUAGCCUCCCGAAAGGGAGAUUAAUACCGCAUAACAUUAUUUUCUCCCAUGAGAGAAUAAUCAAAGGAGCAAUCCGCUUUGAGAUGGACCCGCGGCGCAUUAGCUAGUUGGUGAGGUAACGGCUCACCAAGGCGACGAUGCGUAGCCGACCUGAGAGGGUGAUCGGCCACAUUGGAACUGAGACACGGUCCAGACUCCUACGGGAGGCAGCAGUGGGGAAUAUUGCGCAAUGGGGGAAACCCUGACGCAGCAACGCCGCGUGAGUGAUGAAGGCCUUCGGGUUGUAAAGCUCUGUCUU